rnacentral:rRNA from 1 species
UACGGAGGGAGCUAGCGUUGUUCGGAAUUACUGGGCGUAAAGCGCACGUAGGCGGCAAUUCAAGUCAGGGGUGAAAUCCCGGGGCUCAACCCCGGAACUGCCCUUGAAACUGGAUCGCUAGAAUCUUGGAGAGGCGAGUGGAAUUCCGAGUGUAGAGGUGAAAUUCGUAGAUAUUCGGAAGAACACCAGUGGCGAAGGCGACUCGCUGGACAGGUAUUGCCGCUGAGGUGCGAAAGCGUGGGGAGCAAACAGG